AGCCUUCAUAAUAGCUCAGUCGGCAGAGCGCGAGACACUUAAUCUCAGGGUUGUGGGUUUGAGCCCCAGACAUAGCUG